rnacentral:rRNA from 1 species
CAGCCGCCGCGGUAAUACGGAGGGCGCGAGCGUUACCCGGAUUUACUGGGCGUAAAGGGCGUGUAGGCGGCCUGGGGCGUCCCAUGUGAAAGGUCACGGCUCAACCGUGGAGGAGCGUGGGAUACGCUCAGGCUAGAGGGUGGGAGAGGGUGGUGGAAUUCCCGGAGUAGCGGUGAAAUGCGCAGAUACCGGGAGGAACGCCGAUGGCGAAGGCAGCCACCUGGUCCACUUCUGACGCUGAGGCGCGAAAGCGUGGGGAGCAAACCGGAUUAGAUACCCCGGUAGUCCCUGUCUCUUAUAC